GCAGUCGAACGGCAGCAUGAUCUAGCUUGCUAGAUUGAUGGCGAGUGGCGAACGGGUGAGUAAUACAUCGGAACGUGCCCUGUAGUGGGGGAUAACUAGUCGAAAGAUUAGCUAAUACCGCAUACGACCUGAGGGUGAAAGUGGGGGACCGCAAGGCCUCAUGCUAUAGGAGCGGCCGAUGUCUGAUUAGCUAGUUGGUGAGGUAAAGGCUCACCAAGGCGACGAUCAGUAGCUGGUCUGAGAGGACGAUCAGCCACACUGGGACUGAGACACGGCCCAGACUCCUACGGGAGGCAGCAGUGGGGAAUUUUGGACAAUGGGGGCAACCCUGAUCCAGCAAUGCCGCGUGUGUGAAGAAGGCCUUCGGGUUGUAAAGCACUUUUGUCCGGAAAGAAAUCGCACUUACUAAUAUUAGGUGUGGAUGACGGUACCGGAAGAAUAAGGACCGGCUAACUACGUGCCAGCAGCCGCGGUAAUACGUAGGGUCCAAGCGUUAAUCGGAAUUACUGGGCGUAAAGCGUGCGCAGGCGGUUGUGCAAGACCGAUGUGAAAUCCCCGGGCUUAACCUGGGAAUUGCAUUGGUGACUGCACGGCUAGAGUGUGUCAGAGGGGGGUAGAAUUCCACGUGUAGCAGUGAAAUGCGUAGAGAUGUGGAGGAAUACCGAUGGCGAAGGCAGCCCCCUGGGAUAACACUGACGCUCAUGCACGAAAGCGUGGGGAGCAAACAGGAUUAGAUACCCUGGUAGUCCACGCCCUAAACGAUGUCAACUAGUUGUUGGGGAUUCAUUUCCUUAGUAACGUAGCUAACGCGUGAAGUUGACCGCCUGGGGAGUACGGUCGCAAGAUUAAAACUCAAAGGAAUUGACGGGGACCCGCACAAGCGGUGGAUGAUGUGGAUUAAUUCGAUGCAACGCGAAAAACCUUACCUACCCUUGACAUGCCACUAACGAAGCAGAGAUGCAUUAGGUGCUCGAAAGAGAAAGUGGACACAGGUGCUGCAUGGCUGUCGUCAGCUCGUGUCGUGAGAUGUUGGGUUAAGUCCCGCAACGAGCGCAACCCUUGUCUCUAGUUGCUACGAAAGGGCACUCUAGAGAGACUGCCGGUGACAAACCGGAGGAAGGUGGGGAUGACGUCAAGUCCUCAUGGCCCUUAUGGGUAGGGCUUCACACGUCAUACAAUGGUGCAUACAGAGGGUUGCCAAGCCGCGAGGUGGAGCUAAUCCCAGAAAAUGCAUCGUAGUCCGGAUCGUAGUCUGCAACUCGACUACGGAAGCUGGAAUCG
rnacentral:rRNA from 1 species